rnacentral:rRNA from 1 species
GACGAACGCUGGCGGCGUGCUUAACACAUGCAAGUCGAACGAAGAGCGAUGGACGCUUGCUUCUAUCAAUCUUAGUGGCGAACGGGUGAGUAACGCGUAAUCAACCUGCCCUUCAGAGGGGGACAACAGUUGGAAACGACUGCUAAUACCGCAUACGAUCUAAUCUCGGCAUCGAGGAUAGAUGAAAGGUGGCCUCUACAUGUAAGCUAUCACUGAAGGAGGGGAUUGCGUCUGAUUAGCUAGCUGGAGGGGUAACGGCCCACCAAGGCGAUGAUCAGUAGCCGGUCUGAGAGGAUGAACGGCCACAUUGGGACUGAGACACGGCCCAGACUCCUACGGGAGGCAGCAGUGGGGAAUCUUCCGCAAUGGACGAAAGUCUGACGGAGCAACGCCGCGGGAGGGAUGACGGCCUUCGGGUUGUAAAGCUCUGUUAAUCGGGACGAAAGGCCUUCUUGCGAACAGUUAGAAGGAUUGACGGUACCGGAAGAGAAAGCCACGGCUAACUACGUG